ACCAAACUCCAGCAACACUGCUCUCAGAAAUCCCCAUUCAACAGAAUUAUAGGCUUUUCUGAUAUCCACUUUGAUUAUGCAUCUGGGAGAUACAUCUUUCUGGGAAUUGGAAAUCCCCAUUCAACAGAAUCAUAGGCUUUUCUGAUAUCCACUUUGAUUAUGCAUCUAGGAGAUACAGCUUUCUGGGAAUAAGCUCUAGUCAAUUCAUGGGCCAUAAUGACGUUGUCCAGAAUGUUUCUCCCCUCGAUAAAGGCUAAUUGUGCCUGCCCAACCAGAUAGUCCACCACUAUUUUCAGCCUGUUUGUAAGAAUUUUUGCAAUGACUUUGUACAGUGUUGAGCAGCACGCAAUGGGCCUGUAUUCCUUGACAUAGUUGGGAUUCUUCACUUUUGGGAUCAAUGUAACACUGGUGCAGUUAACUUCUUUCAGUAACUUCGCAUUUUGAAAGAAAUGCUGCACUGCCUCUGUAACCUCUUCACCCACAAUAGGCCAAAACUGUUUGAAGAACUCUGCAAGGUAUCCAUCUAUCCCAGGAGCCU
rnacentral:lncRNA from 1 species